rnacentral:lncRNA from 1 species
CUUCCAGCUAAUGUUUAGGCAUGGCUAGAUGAAAAAUAAUUCAGAAAGAAAAUUGCAUCUCCUUUGAGUUAAGUGGCUGAGCUUGGCCUCAUCUAAACAAAAGAACUACCUUUGCUUUAUAGUGGUCAAAUUCAUUCAGGCAAAGCUUGUGAAAAUACUUAAAGUUAUUUCACCUGAUAAACAUUUAAUGUCCUCUUGUGAGUUCAUGAUAGGAGUAGGCAUCUAUUUGAGAACCUGCAGCUUCAUGAUUUUAGCCAUUUUCAUAUCUCUCUGUCACAGAUAUGACUAAUGGUUGGCAGAUUUCAGCAGCUGCAUAAAAUACAUAAAAUAUGGAAUCUGGGUUUGGGAAUCAGUUCCUGGAGAAACUCAAGCUGUAGGAAUAGUGAACUAUUCUGACGAGCAAUCCUUAGUGAAGAACAAAGGUGUCAUCAAUUCUAGUGGAUAUAAUCUGGCUUUGGUGGGUAGACAAGGGCUUUCCAGUCCUGAGCCAGCAAUCCAGAAACUCACACUCCAGAUGGAAUUGCACUUCUUGCUGGCAACACCUGUUACAGAGGACGAUGUUUUGCAGUGAAACAACCAGUUGUUUGGAGAUUUCUAUUUGGGAUAUCGUCCUGAUAUCUCUUUGAGAUGCUGCUUUUAGAACUGCACACAGCAUGAUCCAGCCUCCCAUUUAAGGGCCAGAGCAACCAUGACAGCAGGAUAAAGCAAAUGGGCUGGAGUCCUAAGGGGAGGAGUGCCACAGAGGUGGUCUGACAGCCUUUCAGUCUGGGACAGAACAGUCCUUCCUUCCUCUCUGUGAGCAGUCCAGUCCUGGGCUCUAGCAGUGGUGAUCGAAUACGUCCUGCUGAUCUGAGUGUGUCACACACACACUCACACCACUAUACCCACAGAGCUGCUGGGGACCUAAGGAAAAAGUG